UUCCAGUAGGUGAUAAAUUAUGACCGUGAUCCUUUGCUGCUUGUUGUAUGAUUGGUCAGUUCCCAUUUCAAAGCAGUGUGUCUCUCUGACAAACUAAAAUGUGUUUCAACUUUCUGUUCUGACUGUCGUCGGGGAACUGCAGUUUUUAGCACCUCCGCAUUGGACUCAUAUUUUUAGACCGGAGGUUGCUGCUUGGAUACAACGCAAGAGGACGAUGAAAAGGACUGUCUGGACGGGCAACAACAAUAUGAUGCGGACCCACUGAGGGCCCCCAAGGACAACGCUCAGUUGAACCCUGUCAACUCCAUUACCUGCUGAUGUGGGAUGACCUAAUGACCAUCUAUGAAUACCAGUGAUGAGACCAAAAUGACAAGAAGACUGGUUAUUUAAACUUACCUGGUUGUGUUAUUUGCCUGCUGCUGCUGAUGAUUGGGCGAGCGAGUGGUGAGUCAACUACAAAACUACACACUACAAAAUCUCUUAGCUUCACUAAUCUGAUAAGUUUGCAAAGGUGGUUAGCACUGGCUACUGAUGGAAUCUUACUCUUGGCAACUCAGGCGUAAACUAGCAAAUGAAUUAGCAACUGGUUAAGACUGCCAAGCUUUGGUAACUUGCUGUUUGUCAACCCCCUGCAUCUCUCCAGCAUCACCAUCUCUUCCAGAUAUGGUAACCUCUGGCUCCAGGAAACCAACAUGGCAGCGGCCUGUGUGCCAAACUCAAGGC